rnacentral:rRNA from 1 species
UACGUAGGGUGCGAGCGUUGUCCGGAUUUAUUGGGCGUAAAGAGCGUGUAGGCGGCCAGACAGGUCCGUUGUGAAAACUCGAGGCUCAACCUCGAGACGUCGACGGAAACCGUCUGGCUAGAGUCCGGAAGAGGAGUGUGGAAUUCCUGGUGUAGCGGUGAAAUGCGCAGAUAUCAGGAAGAACACCUAUGGCGAAGGCAGCACUCUGGGACGGUACUGACGCUGAGACGCGAAAGCGUGGGGAGCGAACAGG